rnacentral:misc_RNA from 1 species
UAACUGUGAUACGUAGUGUGAAUUGCAGAAUUCAGUGAACCAUCGAAACCUUGAACGCACCUUGCGCUCGCGGUCACCCGCGAGCACGCCUGUUUGAGUGUCGUCACAAUAUACUCUCCAAAAGGGAGGAGAAACCCCUCCCUCGCGCGAGGAGUGUGGGCGUCAGGGCAGCCAGAACCCGCGCCCUGGCGCCUGAAACGCAGAGGAGGCCAGGGCGCCCGCCGCCCCGUUCGGGGGGGACCGCCCGGCGCCGAGGGACGUUGCUAAAUCGCGCGCCUCAGCGCGUCGGUACGAUCCCGGAGCGCCGCCUUAGUCGCGCGGUCCCCUAACCCGCGGGAGCAACCGGAUCCGCCCCCUCCAUCCAGAAAUGACGCAAACAAACCCUGCGACCUCAAAUCAGGCGAGGACACCCGCCGAAUUUAA